CGAACGCUGGCGGCGUGCCUAAUACAUGCAAGUCGAGCGGACAGAAGGGAGCUUGCUCCCGGAUGUUAGCGGCGGACGGGUGAGUAACACGUGGGUAACCUGCCUGUAAGACUGGGAUAACUCCGGGAAACCGGAGCUAAUACCGGAUAGUUCCUUGAACCGCAUGGUUCAAGGAUGAAAGACGGUUUCGGCUGUCACUUACAGAUGGACCCGCGGCGCAUUAGCUAGUUGGUGGGGUAAUGGCUCACCAAGGCGACGAUGCGUAGCCGACCUGAGAGGGUGAUCGGCCACACUGGGACUGAGACACGGCCCAGACUCCUACGGGAGGCAGCAGUAGGGAAUCUUCCGCAAUGGACGAAAGUCUGACGGAGCAACGCCGCGUGAGUGAUGAAGGUUUUCGGAUCGUAAAGCUCUGUUGUUAGGGAAGAACAAGUGCGAGAGUAACUGCUCGCACCUUGACGGUACCUAACCAGAAAGCCACGGCUAACUACGUGCCAGCAGCCGCGGUAAUACGUAGGUGGCAAGCGUUGUCCGGAAUUAUUGGGCGUAAAGGGCUCGCAGGCGGUUUCUUAAGUCUGAUGUGAAAGCCCCCGGCUCAACCGGGGAGGGUCAUUGGAAACUGGGAAACUUGAGUGCAGAAGAGGAGAGUGGAAUUCCACGUGUAGCGGUGAAAUGCGUAGAGAUGUGGAGGAACACCAGUGGCGAAGGCGACUCUCUGGUCUGUAACUGACGCUGAGGAGCGAAAGCGUGGGGAGCGAACAGGAUUAGAUACCCUGGUAGUCCACGCCGUAAACGAUGAGUGCUAAGUGUUAGGGGGUUUCCGCCCCUUAGUGCUGCAGCUAACGCAUAAGCACUCCGC
rnacentral:rRNA from 1 species